rnacentral:rRNA from 2 species
CGGCAACGGAUAUCUCGGCUCUCGCAUCGAUGAAGAACGUAGCGAAAUGCGAUACUUGGUGUGAAUUGCAGAAUCCCGUGAACCAUCGAGUCUUUGAACGCAAGUUGCGCCCGAAGCCAUCAGGCCGAGGGCACGCCUGCCUGGGCGUCACACGUCGUUGCCCUCC